AAAGUCCUUUACGAUGAAGAACUAGCGAAUCACAUCGACCCCGAGUCAUGCGGGGGCACUCGCGAGGGUGUCACCGAAGCGUUGACAGGGGCGCACGUAGGCCAGCCAUUGAGCGACGAAAGACUUCCCAAUCGGAGUGCUGAUGCUUUCCAGUCAGCAGAAGGCAAUACGUCCCGCCGCGAUAUCGCGAGUGGCGGGCGGCUCCGCGUCGUCUGUAGACCC
rfam:Burkholderia cenocepacia J2315 chromosome 3, complete genome